GCAUGAAGUUGGAAUUGCUAGUAAUCGCGGAUCAGCAUGCCGCGGUGAAUACGUUCCCUGGCCUUAUACACACCGCCCGUCACACCAUGGGAGCCGGUAAUACCCGAAGUCAGUAGCCUAACCGCAAGGGGGGGCGCUGCCGAAGGUAGGAUUGGCGACUGGGGGUGAAGUCGUAACAAGGUAAC
rnacentral:rRNA from 1 species